rnacentral:tRNA from 1 species
AUUAGAAUCUAAUAAUAUGAUAAUAUCUUUAUUAAAUUUCAUUAU